rnacentral:lncRNA from 1 species
AGUUACUAAACCUAUAUCUAAAACUCCAAUUUUUCCACAUAUAACAUAUUUUUAUUCUUUAAGUGUAUGGCAUCUUAGUAUUUUUGCAUAAAAAAUUCAAAAAUCUUAAAUCCAAAAAAUAUUACUCCAUAACCUUCUAAGAAACUUUCCAAUUUGGGCCUAGAAGAAGCACUUGCAAUCCAUCUCUUCCUCAUCUUCACCACCUAGCCAUUGUCAACCCCCUUACUUCCUAACCCCUGGAUUAGAGAGCAUUAUCCUAGCACCAACUGAUGAUCCCUUAGUAGUCAACAUGUAGUAACCACCCUAUUAUCUAGCUAAUUCCACCUAACCCUUGCAUCAACGAUGAUGCUCAAAAUCACCCUCUAUCUUUUCUCUCGAACCUUCAGCCCUAAUCCUCCUCCAUCUUUGACAAAUUGACCCUAUCAACCAUCCUUAUCUCUAGUUGUAACCCCCUCCA